rnacentral:rRNA from 1 species
GACGAACGCUGGCGGCGUGCUUAACACAUGCAAGUCGAACAGUGGCGAACGGGUGAGUAACACGUGAGUAACCUGACCUCCACUUUGGGAUAACUCCGAGAAAUCGGGGCUAAUACUAGAUAGGGGGGGAUGGGCUCGCGGCCUAUCCGUUUGUUGGGGAGGUAGUGGUCACCAAAGCGUGACGGGUAGCCGGCCUGAGGGGGGGACCGGCCAAACUGGGACUGAGACACGGCCCAGACGCCUACUGGGGGCAGCAGUGGGGAAUAUUGCACAAUGGGCGAAAGCCUGAUGCAGCGACGCCGAGUGGGGGAUGACGGCCUUCUGGUUGUAAACCUCUUUCAGCAAGGAACCGGUACUGGCAGAAGAAGCGCCGGCUAACUACGUGCCAGCAGCGGCGGUAAUAC